rnacentral:tRNA from 1 species
AGAGAAGAAGUUUAUAAAAUAUUUGACCUGCACUCAAAAGAAGGCGAUUACUCGUCCUACUCUA